CAUCCUGCAACCCGCGCCGCCCCCCUCUUCCGCGCUGCGCACGGAUGGCGGCUGGAGCCGCAGAGAAAUGGGAUCAUACUAUAAAUCCUGUACUGCUGUAUCACCCAUGCCAGACCAGCAGCCUGGGCAUCACCCCGAGUUUGUCAGAAAUGCAGACUCUCAGGCUUCACUCAUGACCUGCUGGAUCACAACCUGCAUUCAACAAGAACCAAGGGCCCCUGGAGAUUCCGGUGCACAUCAGAGUUGGAGCUCUAAUACAUAUUAUCAUAUGCAACUUGCUUUUUUAGCAACAGUAUGUCUUUGACGUCUUUCAGCGUAAGAACAGUUUGGUCACAUUCCUUGUUCACGGCUGCAUAGUUUCCCACUGUUUGGCAGUGCUCUGGUUCUGUUCCCUGGUCUGCUAAAAAUGACUGUGCUGGGCUUGAAGAACGGAUGGAUAAAAUGCCACUUGGAGGGGAGUGUGAAUAGAGAAGUGCUGAUGUUCUGGGCAGAGGAAUCAGCAUAAGCAAAGGAAUGGAAGCAGAAAGGAAACAAACCUGAAGUCUACCCUGUCCUUGUUCCCACAGGGCUUGGUGAGGACCGAAGGAGGGAUACUGUAGGUGGUUCUCCCGGGUGCUGAGAAGUUGGGGAUCCAGAAGGCCAAUGAGUUAAAUGAGAGUCUUAGAAAUGGCUUUGACCCUCUACUUGGAGCACUGACGAGGGAGAAUUCUCUCUGGAGCCCCUGAAGCUGUAACCACCACCUAUGCUUGCAGAUCAGUAGCAGGAACACUCACUGUGCAUUUCUUCCUGGGCCAGGUUACUGUGCUAAGAGAUUCAACCCUCAGGAGGGAGAAGUUCUUAUUAGUUCCCCUUGACAGAUGAGGCAACUGAGGCACAAAGAGGAAUGUGGCUAAGGUCACAAAGCCAGAAAGUGAUGGAGUGAAGAUGUGAAUUGGAGUCUGGCCGGGAGCUGUCGCUAAGCACGGACUAUUCCUGGGGUUUCUGAGCUGGGCGUCUGGUUGUGGGCAUACUCUGUGAGCCUGCGUUGGUGUGCUGUGCUGGGUGCCUUGAUGGGACUUGCCGCUGUGCGGUGAUGGACAUAGAUGUCAAGAAGGGAAGAGCUGCUGUGAUGAACACCAGCCCGAGGAUGGAAGGAGGAAACUGCAUCCUGGAGUCAUUCGUUCAUUCGUUUGCUCAUUAAUCAACCUUCCCCAAGCAACCAUGAUGUACAGGGCUCUGAGCUGGUGUCCCAAGGACAUGGGGACAACUCAGCAGCUGCUUUCUACUGUCAAAGGGCACAUGACAUUACUGAGGGCAGAAAUAAGAGGAGGAAGUAGCAGGUUACAGGAUAAGGACACCGUCAUCAAUAGCUGGUUAGAAAGCGUACUGGGAAAAUAGCGACAAUAGCCACUAUAGAAACUGCGCAGAUGGCAGAUCAAGAAGCCUGCAAAACCAUAACAUAACGCAGUGCUUGAAUAGAUGGAGAUGUUUACCUCAUUCUUAAACUGAAAAACUUGGGAUAAAUUUGGCUGUGUUUCUCCAACUUAAACACAUUUCAUGCAACACCAGUCGAAAUUCUGAUGGGAUUUUGGCAUGGGUGGGGAAGGGAGAAGGUUUGACAAAAAUCAUUCUGUAACUUACCCCCCAAAACUUACAUGAUUGGGAAUUGGCAAAUUUUAAAAAAACAUAACAGUAUCAGGGGCUUGUGUGGUUAGGCAUUAAAAUAUAUUCCAAAACUAUAACAAUCACACUAUGUGAUAUCAUCGCGGGAAGAGACAAGUAGAUUCCUGGAGCAAAUGGGUCUGGACGUAGAGCCACAUGAGUAUGAGUCUACUUCGUGAUAAAGGUGCAUCUCAAAGUGGAGGCAGGAGUGAGGCCUCCAGGUGAUGCUGCGUCGUCAGACUUCAUUUGGGAUGCAGAGAGAUGGGGCCUUUCUUCUCCCUCUGAACAUACUUCAUUGGGGGGCUUUGCCUGUAAGGGACUGAUUAAAAGCAAUCAACGUGAGUCUAGCUCCAAACAGUGUCCCCAGAGUGUUUCCAUCCACAAUCUAGUCUGGUCUUCAAGGAGGCAGCACAAGGUCAUAUACAUUAAAAAAAAAAAAUGUUCACUCCCUCCCCAUGAUAAAGUCAUCCAACUGGUCACAGCAAAUUAGUAAAAAAGGAGAGAAAGUGAAUCUCCCCCAGCCCCCCACCCAUGAGCCCACUACAUACAUUUAUUCUUUCCAAAACUGGGGUCAUAAUGUGUAUGCACUUUUGUAACCUACUGAGUUCAGUUCAUAUCAUAUCAUGAGUGUUUAAAUAUCCUUUGAAGACAUAGUUUCUGAAGGCUGUGUGCUAUUCCUUAAGAGGCAGACACAAUGAUUUAUUUAGCUGUUCUCCAAGUUGAUUAUUUUCCAGACAGCUAUUAUAAAUAAUGUUUCUGUGAG